rnacentral:rRNA from 1 species
UACAGAGGGUGCGAGCGUUAAUCGGAAUUACUGGGCGUAAAGCGCGUGUAGGCGGCUUUGCAAGUCGGGUGUGAAAGCCCUCAGCUCAACUGAGGAAGUGCGCCCGAAACUGCAGAGCUUGAGUGCCGGAGAGGGUGGCGGAAUUCCCCAAGUAGAGGUGAAAUUCGUAGAUAUGGGGGAGGAACACCGGUGGCGAAGGCGGCCACCUGGACGGUAACUGACGCUGAGACGCGAAAGCGUGGGGGAGCAAACAGG